GUCAUUUUGAAGAGGGGCUGUACAACAUUGCGUAUCACCACUCUCAAGCAUUACAACGAAAGCCGAAGACCAGCCCAGAGAGAAUUAAAAAACAACAACUGAGAAUUAAAAAAAUAACUGUGGCAUGUGUUUUAUUUCUCUUGGCUGCUGUGCCUCACAAGUGCCCUGAGGUCAUGAAGUUGCAAGAAUUUCAACAAAACUGCAGGAAUUCGCUGCAAGAUGUCUCCCAGUUCAGUGCCAACACGUAGGCUUCGGGCAGCCUGGCUCUGAAACCACAUCAUAUGUGACCACAGAGAUUUGUUGCAUUUCCUACCUUUGGGCAAAUGUCAUGCAACAGAAACCACAGACACUGAGUGUGUUUGCAGCGUCCACGAGGGCUCUUUCUCCUCUCUCAUUAGGGUGCAAACCAUACGCAAUGAAGCACUGUACCAGAAACGUGCUAAUUGUUAGCAGACGCCUCCAGUUUCAGAAACUCUGUGGAGAGGGCAAGGGGAACCACAGGAGCCAGACAGGACCUGACUUUGCUUUUCCCUGUCCAGUGACAUUAAAGCACCAGACAGGCAAAUCCUCUCUCUAGCUGUAAGUUGGAUGCAAUCAACUUGGGCACCAGGGAGACAAGGAGGAGGCAAAGGCAUAUUGCUUUAAAGUCACUUUUCAGGACGCACUUUUUCAUGGGAAAAAUACUGAAGCAGCAUGAGUCACGCGUUGGUGUAACACAUCCCCAAGCCAAAAAAGCAGCGCCUGGGAAGCGGCACGGCCGAGCCGGGGCACAGACUUUUGCUUGAAUCGGCUCCAGCUGGGGCAGGAGAGCAGCAGAAAGCCGCGCUGCGAUGAUGGAUGGGAGGCCAGUGUGAAGCGAGUUGGACAGCUCCUCGCCCGGGUGCCCUUCCCGGCUGCUGCACAAGCGGUGCCCGCGCGGCCCAGGGAAGCGGCCGUUCGCCUCGGCCCCAGGCCUCGGGCCUCGGUACCGGCGGGGCCCGGCCCGGCCCGGAGACGGCCCGAGCCAGGGAAGGCCCGAGCCAGGCCCUGCCGCAGCCGGGGAGCUCGGGUGCCCCCCCGAGGCCAGCCGGCACCGGGCUCCCCCCGCAGCGAGCCCCGAGCACGGUCCGCACCGAGGGCAGCGGCCCGCGGGCCCCGCCCGGUGGUUCCGCCCAUGGCGGCGCCCUUCCCGCCUCUCCCGCCCCGCGCCGAGCGGAGGUCUCGCGAGAUCCGCCCCGGGUCAUGCGCCUGCGCAGUGCCGCGGCCCAGGGGAAAGGGGCGGAGCCUCUUCACCGCCGCCUCACGGUUCCGCCGCCAUCUUGUUUCUCGGCCGCUGGGCGCUCGCUCCGCUCUGGUCGCCCCCUCCCCCUCCUUCCCGCCUCCCUUCAGCCGGGCCGGAGGCAGCGCGGGCGCCGGGCGGAGGAGGCGGAGGUCGCGGCGCUGGCUGCCCCGCUACUCGUUUGA
rnacentral:lncRNA from 1 species